rnacentral:rRNA from 1 species
CAAAUAUAAUCCUUAAGCCCUUAAACAAAAAAACAAAAAACAAAAAAAACACUUAAAUGACAACAAAAACAAGAAUAGAUCAGACAACAAGUGAACAAAUUAUUCAGCUAAAAGCAUAUUUAAAAAUAAAAAUAAUCAUUCAAAUUUGUAACUCUUUCAACCAAUUACAUAAAAACAAUCUAUAAUUUCAUACUAGAUAAAAGGUUGAUGCCUGCAGCUCAGCAGAUUCAUGAUAACCUGAUGAAUUGCACAGGAAUUGUGCCGACAACACAUCAUUCAAAUUUUUUUCUCUAUCAACUUUCGAUGGUAGGAAAGUAGCCUACUAUGGUAGUGACGGGUGACGGAGAAUUAUAGUUCGAAUUUGGAGAGGGAGCCUGAGAAACGGCUACCACAUCCAAGGAAAGCAACAGACGUGCAAAUUACCCAAUUCUAACAUAGGGAGGUAGUGACAAUAAAUAACAACAUCGAGCUCUCACGAGUCUAAUAAUUGGAAUGAGUACAAUCUAAAUCUCUUAACAAGGAUACACUAGAGGGCAAGUCUAGUGUUAACAGCCAAGGUAAUUCCAACUCCAAUAUUGCAAUUAAAAAGCUCGUAGUUGAACCUUGGGUUAGGCAAAGCUGUCUGCCCCUGGUGUGCACCGGUUUGUUCAUUCCUUUUGCUGUCGAUGCGCAGGGCCUUAAUUGGCCGAGUCAUGCCUCUAGUGCUAUUACUUUGAAGAAAUUAAAGUGCUCAAAGCAAGUCUAUCCUCUAGAUACAUUAGCAUGGGAUAACAUAAUAGGAUUUCGGUCCUAUUAUGUUGGCCUUCAGGAUCAAAGUAAUGUUUAACAGGGAUAGUUGGGGGCAUCUGUAUUUCAUAGUCAAGGGUGCAAUUCUUGGAUUUAUGAAGGAUGAACAACUGCGAAAGCAUUUUCCAAGGAUGUUUUCAUUAAUCAAGAUCGAAAGUUAGAGGCUCAAAGAUGUUCAAAUACUGUCCUAGUCUCAACCAUAAACGAUGCCUAUCAAGGAUUAGCGGAUGUUCCAGGGGGAGUACGGUCACAAGUCUGAAACUUAAAGGAAUUGACGAAAGCGAACCACUAGGAGUGGAGUCUAUAGCCCAAUUUGACUCAACACGAGGAAACUUACCAGGUCCGGACAUAGUAAGGAUUGACAGACUAAUAGGUCUUUCUUGAUUCUAUGGGUGAUGGUGUAUGGCCGUUCUUAAUUGGUGGAGUGAUUUGUCUGGUUAAUUCCGUUAGCAAAUAAGACCUCAGCUUGCUAACUAGCUAUGAGGAGGUGACCUCCCGCGGCCAGUUUCUUAGAGGGACUAUGGCCGAUUAGGCCCAAGAAGUUUGACGCAAUUAUAGGUUUGUGAUGCCUUUAGAUGUUCUUGACUACACUUGCACUACACUAACAUAUUCAAUGAGUUUAUAGCCUUGGCCGACAGGUUUAGGUAAUCUUUGAAAUUUCUUCGUGAUGUGGAUAGAUCAUUGUAAUUGUUAAUGAGGAAUUCCUAGUAAGCACGACUCAUCAGCUCACGUUGACUACAUCCCUGCCCUUUGUACACACUGCCCGUUGCUCCUACCAACUGAAUGGUUCGUUUAAGUGUUCGGAAUAAAAGAGUCAUAGUUACUCCUGC